rnacentral:rRNA from 1 species
AGAUGGGAGCUUGCUCCCUGAUGUUAGCGGCGGACGGGUGAGUAACACGUGGGUAACCUGCCUGUAAGACUGGGAUAACUCCGGGAAACCGGGGCUAAUACCGGAUGCUUGUUUGAACCGCAUGGUUCAAACAUAAAAGGUGGCUUCGGCUACCACUUACAGAUGGACCCGCGGCGCAUUAGCUAGUUGGUGAGGUAAUGGCUCACCAAGGCAACGAUGCGUAGCCGACCUGAGAGGGUGAUCGGCCACACUGGGACUGAGACACGGCCCAGACUCCUACGGGAGGCAGCAGUAGGGAAUCUUCCGCAAUGGACGAAAGUCUGACGGAGCAACGCCGCGUGAGUGAUGAAGGUUUUCGGAUCGUAAAGCUCUGUUGUUAGGGAAGAACAAGUACCGUUCGAAUAGGGCGGUACCUUGACGGUACCUAACCAGAAAGCCACGGCUAACUACGUGCCAGCAGCCGCGGUAAUACGUAGGUGGCAAGCGUUGUCCGGAAUUAUUGGGCGUAAAGGGCUCGCAGGCGGUUCCUUAAGUCUGAUGUGAAAGCCCCCGGCUCAACCGGGGAGGGUCAUUGGAAACUGGGGAACUUGAGUGCAGAAGAGGAGAGUGGAAUUCCACGUGUAGCGGUGAAAUGCGUAGAGAUGUGGAGGAACACCAGUGGCGAAGGCGACUCUCUGGUCUGUAACUGACGCUGAGGAGCGAAAGCGUGGGGAGCGAACAGGAUUAGAUACCCUGGUAGUCCACGCCGUAAACGAUGAGUGCUAAGUGUUA